rnacentral:rRNA from 1 species
ACGGAGGGGGCUAGCGUUGUUCGGAAUUACUGGGCGUAAAGCGUGCGCAGGCGGUGAUGUAAGACAGUUGUGAAAUCCCCGGGCUCAACCUGGGAACUGCGCUUGUGACUGCACGGCUAGAGUACGGCAGAGGGGGGUGGAAUUCCGCGUGUAGCAGUGAAAUGCGUAGAUAUGCGGAGGAACACCGAUGGCGAAGGCAAUCCCCUGGGCCUGCACUGACGCUCAUGCACGAAAGCGCGGGGAGCAAACAGGA